CGCGCAGUCUUCAUCAAAACACCACUGAGUGUGGCUUGAAUUCGCCAAAAUGACGACGAGAAGACCCCUAAACAAGCCAAUCAAGCUAGAGCAAUAUGACUUAUCUGAUGAACCUGAGAUCCAGGAAAAUGAGAAAGAAGAGGAGAUUGUAGAAGAGACCAAGUUUAAGAGCAAAAGAAGAAAACAAGAAAAUGCGUCACCAUAUCAUCCCCGCAGAUUCGUUACUAGAUGGCUAACAAUACCAGAAAUUAGAGGAUGGAUACACCCAUUACGUUCUGAUCCCGCUCAUGUGUGGUGCAAAUUUUGUAGAAAGAAAAUUCGGGCACAUUUAAGUGAUAUGAAAGUUCAUACUAAAACAAGAAAGCACCAGAAGAACAUGAAACUUGUCCUUCCUGAACUUCCUACAGAGGCUGGCAUGGAGAUAGACCACAAAGAAGUUGUUAUCAGUUUCCCUUCAUCAAAGCUUUACCACGAAGACCUUAUAGUUGUGUCUGAAGAUGGAACAGCAACGAGCACAACAAACCCUGCUGUGCCUGGCAAGGAAGUUUUGAACCCAGCAAAUAUUGGGUUUAUUGGAUGUGGUAACAUGGCCCAGGCGCUUCUCAAUGCAUUUAUCAGAAAAGGGUUGAUAGAUCCUUCCCAUGUAAUGGCAAGUGCACCUUCUGACCGCAACCUAACUAAACUUCGCUCUCUAGGGGUGAAGACAACUCAUGACAACAAUGAAGUUGUGAAGCAUAGUGACGUGAUUUUCCUGUGUGUAAAACCUCACCAUCUAACAGAUAUGAUAGGUGACUUGAAUGCAUUGGAAAGAAGCCACAAUCCACUUUUUGUUUCCAUUAUUACAGGAUUUGACAUCAAAACCUUAGAGGAGAUGCUUACUGCCUUGAUAGAUUACCCUCGUGUGAUACGCUUAAUGCCUAAUACCCCAUCAAUGGUUGGACAAGGAUGCUGUGUGUACACCCUUGGAAGCCAUACACCAGAAGCAUAUAAUGAAGUCAUGAAUUCCAUGCUCAGUUCUAUAGGAUUAAGUGCAGAGAUUCCUGAGUACCAGAUGGAUGCUGCUUGUGGUUUGGCAGGAUCAGGACCAGCUUAUAUAUAUGCAGCUAUAGAAGCUCUAGCAGAUGGUGGGGUUAAAAUGGGUCUUCCUCGGCAGUUGGCUCAGACCUUGGCUGCUCAGAUGGUUAAGGGAGCAGCAACAAUGGUUCUUGAAAGUGGAAAGCAUCCAGGUCAGUUAAAGGAUGAGGUCUGCUCUCCAGGAGGCACUACUAUUGCAGCCAUGCACAGCCUAGAGAAAAAUGGCCUUCGGAAUGCUCUCAUAUCAGCAGUGGAAGCAUCAGCACUACGCUCAAAAGAAUUAGGCACCAAGAAGUGAAAAAUCAUGUGGAUAACCAGUGAAAUCCUACAGCAGUGGAAGCUUGUAGAGCUCUUCGUGACAGUCUCAUCUGACCUGAUGCUGGAUCACGUCCAAAAUACUUUACCUUAACCUGUUGUCCAACUUCAAGACCAAGUGCACUGGGAUGGUGUACCUGUUGACAAAGUUUUACUUAUUACAGCGUGUGACUAAACCAAUCGCUAUCCCAGCUGCUGGUGAAGAUAUGUUAACACCAGCAUCCAUCAAGGCCAAGCUACCACCACAUACAGUUGCCAUGGAAGAGGACCCUGGAGAAUACAGGUAUAAAGGCAUGGAAUAAAAAAAAUGGAAUCACAAGAUAUUUUGGUGCAAGCUCCCUGCGAAGAUAAUUGGAAGGAAUGCGUCCUGCAGCAGCAUAUUUUUGACGAUAGUCUACUGUGAGAGGCAUAAAUCCUGGGGAGGGACCAGUGCGGCCUUUGCUCACAGCAGUAAUAAGGACUGAGGUAUCACCUAUGGUAGCCACAGCAGCACCAUCUGCUAAGCGAGCAUACUCUCCAGUUUCAAGGUGUAUUGUCCGCCUGUAAAAAUGUAAAUACAGGGUAUCGGUAUAUUAACAGAUAUUUUUUCAUACACACAACAAGCCUUUUCCUGUUAUCAUGCUAGGAGACAAGAGAUGAUGACUUAAUGUUUAAUACAUUCAGUGCCUCAUGGGUUACCCCAUCCUUUGGCAAGAUACUAUUUCACCGCCAGUAAGCGCACCAUAUUGUGCAGACAUUUUGUCAAUAAGUGCGUGAUGGAUACAAAAAAAGAAAGAAACCAAAUUUUACAUUCAAGGCAAAUGCUCUGCUGCUAAAGAAAUACCAAUAAUGGUGUUUAUUAUAAGUGUGUUUUUUUUGUACUAUAAUAAAUUUCAUAAGAAAAUUGCAUAAACUGCUGUAUACUGUACACAGCCAGUUUUCUACUCAAUAGAUAUUUACUGUCAUGUUGCUUUUCUGCGACAACAAAUUAAGGAAUACAUUUCUGGCAAAAAGGCAAUAUUAAUUUCUAUUUUCUUUUUACAUAAAAUAAUUUAUACAUACCUAACAAUAAAUACCAAGUAGUUGAUCUUAUGUAACAUCAUUUCCCAUCAUAACUUGCAAUAUGCUGAUGGAUUGAGAUGAAGAAAUCUUUGGGUGUGUGAGGGAAUGAGCCAUGGGUGUGGGAGGAAAAGAGCAGCAGCAGGUGUGUGUGUGUGAGAAAGAUUGAAAGGUGGUGUGUGAUGGAGGGAACAAGUAAAAUAAUAUAUUUUCUGAAAUUCAAAGUUGGGUGCAAAUAACCAAUAAAUUUCUGAAGCAAAAGAUUGUAGCCCUGUUCUUCCAAAAUCCAUUCAAACAAAACUAUCAGCCAUAAUGUAUUGCAAAAUUCUGAAAAAAAACAAGGAAUAUAACACUAGAAUGAAUAAUAUCAAGAUCAGUACUACUGUAGUUCAUCCUUUGGAAUUUCACUUUACCAUACCUUAGAUAAAGCACCGGUAUAUACUGUAACAACUAUCAAUAUCCCUACAAAACAUCACUGAGGAGAACUUGAAAAAAAAAUUAUAUUUCCUUCUACAGUAUUCUAAUAUGUACAAUGAUUUAAACUUUUGUGCAAUCGUUUAGCAGUUGACUCAUGAAUCUGUGAAGCAUGUAUUGUUCAGUUGGUUCAGUUCACAGUGGUAUGGUUUGUUAUUGAUUGCAUCCAAUGUACUCUAAUAAAUAAAUUGUGUACCUUGGUUGUGAUCAGUGCAUAAGUCGGAUACUGUAUUGUAAAAUUGCUAUGUACAGUACUUGUUAUAUUGACCCAAUAAAGAUUUAACUGUUUA